rnacentral:rRNA from 1 species
CAGUCGCCGCGGUAAUACGUAGGUGGCAAGCGUUGUCCGGAAUUAUUGGGCGUAAAGGGCUCGCAGGCGGUUUCUUAAGUCUGAUGUGAAAGCCCCCGGCUCAACCGGGGAGGGUCAUUGGAAACUGGGAAACUUGAGUGCAGAAGAGGAGAGUGGAAUUCCACGUGUAGCGGUGAAAUGCGUAGAGAUGUGGAGGAACACCAGUGGCGAAGGUGACUCUCUGGUCUGUAACUGACGCUGAGGAGCGGAAGCGUGGGGAGCGAACAGGAUUAGAUACCCGAGUAGUCCCUGUCUCUUAUAC